UUUGUUCCGUUUUUUGGGAGUCCUGUUUCCAUCCGGCACACUGAAUGGUGGGAUGCACAUUCGAUUGUGCAAUCGCCAAUAUACCAUAGAAGACGAACAACACCAUGAACAACAACAUGAACAUCCUAGUUUGGAGGAGUGGGGGCAUUCAAUAACCCGUACAGCUGUCAAUCUUUCAUGGCGGCCUCCUGUGUUUACAAAUUCGCAGCAUGACUUGAUUUCGUGACUGCUGCUAUAUAACUCCAGUGUACGGCUACGUUUGUCCCGUGGGUGCUGUGAUGAACCCACUCUACCACAAAGUCCAUGGUGGUCUUCCAAUGCCUUGCAAAGAAGGGGCCCCCAGACGGCUCGUGCAUCCUGACCAACGUGCUGUGUGUCUACAACCCCCCCCCCCCAGAGAUCUACAGCUACAACUGGAACCUGCUCACGGAGAUGGUGAGGGUGCCACUAACUCACCACAUCACUGAUCUUCACUCAUGAGUCCACUGUUGAAGAUGGCAGAGGGGGAUACCAUCUAUGACUACUGCUGGUAUCCCAAGAUGAGCCCUCUGGAUCCAAACUCCUGCUUCCGGCAGCAGUCGUGAUAACCCGGUCCAUAUCUGGGACGCGUUCAACGGGGACCUGCGAGCCAACUUCAGACCCUACAACCAUCUGGAUGAGCUGACCUCUGCUUCUCCCCAGACGGAUCACAGCUCUACAGCGGCUUCGACAAGACUAUCAGGGUGUUUUACACAGACAGGCCUGGACGGGACUGUGAGGAGAGGCCAACUAUAGAUGCUGAGUGUGUUCCCUCUCCUCACAAGUGAAGAAGCAGUAUCAGAGUGGCAUCAUCUCCUGCCUGGCGUUCAGCCCGUGCCAGUCUGUGUACGCCUGUGGCUCCUUCUCCCGCACCGCAGGCCUCUACUCCUGCCAGGAUGGCUCUCUGCUGGUUCUGCUGCCACCCAGGCACCACAGGGGCAUCGCACACCUCGCCUUCUCACCCGAAGGACACUACCUGUACACUGCCGGGCGCAAGGUGUUUCGGAAUGAUGAUUGUGUGUAGGACCCAGAGAUUCUGUGCUGGGAUCUGAGAGACCCGGGCAAGGUUCUGUUCUGGAAAGUAGCCACCAACCAAUGCAUCUACUUUGACCUGGAUCUGUCUGCCCGGUACCUGUUGAGUGACGACACAGGUGGGGUGGUGUCAGUGUGGGACACCCUCACAGCCCACCCCCCCCAGUGCUCUCUCUCUCCCCCAGUGUCCACCCCUUCGUGCCGUUGCUGGUGUCAACCAGCAGGCAGCGCAGGUUCCUCGACCCGGGGGACAGUAGCGACGGAGACUCCUUCGACUCGGGUUCAGAGGGUGAUAUUGUGAUAUCACCAGCCCCAGAGGUCAGACAGGACAACGCCCUGACUCUGUGUUGGGUCGGUCCUCUCAGCCCAGCCAGCGAGGGGGGGCAGGAGGAACCAGCACCAAUGGUGGGGAUUGAUUGAUGGUGGAGUAGCCCAACUCAAACCCCUCUCCUCAGGACUGAACCAAAUGUAACUUCAAACUGCCACUGUGUAAAGUUUACUACAAUAUUUGGAGUACUUUUUCUGCUGAGUAUUGCAAACCAGCGUGUUGAGUCCCGUGGAUUCAGCGAACAACAGUUUCCCCGGUCUCGAAGCCAAGGUACAAACUAUGGUGAAUGCUAACAUGUUAUUAGGAAUUUUUGGUAGCAUGCUACUAUGCUAACUGAGGUCUUCCCCAUUUCAAACUACAUGUAAUUGUAAAACCACAGCCAGACCAGGCCCACUGUGUUGGAGGAGCACAGUGUACAUUGUGUUGUCUACUUUCCACUCAUGUUUCUCCAUGGGAGUGUUCCGUUGUUUACCUUCUAGUCUGUAUAGCCUGGUCCCAGAUAUCUCGGUGUUGUUUUAUGGCCAUUAUUUAGCAUUUCAAUCAAACAGGUCUGGGAUCAGGCUAUUGUCUAUAGUCCUGCCCAGAAUAACCUAAUACUGCUAGUUUAAGUGCAAUUCAGAGCUUUGAUUUGUGAAUAUUAUUUUAUUGUUCUAAGUGCCGAGGUGUCGCUAUACCUGCGUCAGUAAAUGUAUAUUUUUCUAUAGCCAUGAUGAAUAUUUAGUUUCUGAAUGUAUUAAAAUCGUUAAGCAGUUGGCACAAUUGCUGUAACCACAAACAAAUGGAUACUGCAAACGUCUUUUUAUAGUGAAAUGUCCGUGAGAGAUGACACGUCAUU